rnacentral:misc_RNA from 1 species
GUGAAUCAUCGAAUUUUUGAACGCAAAUUGCACUUUCUGGUAUUCCGGAAAGUAUGCCUGUUUGAGGGUCAGUUAAAUAAAAAUCGGUGUUGUUGCUGCCCUUCGUGGUGACGCGUCGGAAUUGGGUCGUCUUACCUUCGGUUAAGUGACUUAAAAUUUUUGAAGGAUUUUCGAACGUAUUUAAAUGGCUUAGGUACGUUUGAGAUAUCGAAUGCUUAUUAGGUUCGGUCAUUCCAAUGAUUCGCGCAUAUAAUUUUUCAUUAAUUGACCUCAAAUCAGGUAAGAAUACACGCUGAAAUUA